GCUAGCGAUGAAUUCGGCGCCGGCGGGGACAAGUCGCAAAGUGUGUCUUCUCUGCCAGAUUCUACAACCAAAACACCGUCGCCCAUUAACAACGGCGGCCAUCCACAGAGCAAACGCAAUUCGCGUCCAAGCCUUAACACUAAGGAGCUGAAGACCACAGAGUCGGCACUGAACAAUACGGCUCCAGCCAGCAUCUCCUUGCCCAACUACGUGCCCAUUGCGGCCACCAACUAAGGGGGCGCGGCGCAUCCAACCACAUUCAGAAAAUCUAAAAUAGAUGAUAAAAUCCACACAAAAUUGUCACAAAGGAAUCAAAA